rnacentral:rRNA from 1 species
CCCUUAGAUGUCCUGGGCCGCACGCGUGCUACACUGACACUUACACCGAGUUUUUCCAAUGCCGAAAGGCCAUUGGUAAUCAGCAAUAAGUGUCGUGAUGGGGAUAGAUCUUUGGAAUUAUUGAUCUUGAACGAGGAAUGCCUAGUAAGCGCAGGUCAUUAGCCUGCGCUGAUUAAGUCCCUGCCCUUUGUACACACCGCCCGUCGCUCCUACCGAUUUCGAGUGGUCCGGUGAAUCUUUCGGACUGCGCGCGGCCUCGUGCCGUGUCGCGGAAAGUCAGGUAAACCUUAUCACUUAGAGGAAGGAGAAGUCGUAACA